AGAGUUUGAUCCUGGCUCAGGACGAACGCUGGCGGCGUGCCUAACACAUGCAAGUCGAACGGAGUUAAAUUCGACACCCGAGUAUCCGGCCGGGAGGCGGGGUGCUGGGGGUUGGAUUUAACUUAGUGGCGGACGGGUGAGUAACGCGUGAGUAACCUGCCUUUCAGAGGGGGAUAACGUUCUGAAAAGAACGCUAAUACCGCAUAACAUCAAUUUAUCGCAUGAUAGGUUGAUCAAAGGAGCAAUCCGCUGGAAGAUGGACUCGCGUCCGAUUAGCCAGUUGGCGGGGUAACGGCCCACC
rnacentral:rRNA from 1 species